GCAGGAUUUAGUUUAGUUGAAAAUGAUGGGUUGUUGCCCUAGAGAGAUUUGUUCUG
rnacentral:tRNA from 1 species